rnacentral:snoRNA from 1 species
GCCUGGCAAGUGAUGAUUGAAUAAAAAAAAGUAUAGUUCAUCUGAAAAUUCAUGAUGACCAUUAUUUCGCCCCUAUCUGAUAUGCCAUUC